GGUGAGCCUCUCGUGAUUGGCUCCGUCACCGUGCGUAAGAUCAAAGGGAAGAAAGGACAGCCCCAAUACCCGGAGCCGUUGUGGCUCCGGCCGGUUGCGCCGGCCCUCGGGCCCUCAGUGAGGCAAGGGCAGAGGAGUCCGUCCCUGUGUCCACCACCAUCACAAGCCCAAGGCAAGUACUGCUAGAGGGCUGCCUAUGAUCAGAUCUUCUGAGAACAUCAGAGAAAGACUGUCCUUGCAAUCUACACUACAGCAAAACUUCAGGACCUUGAACUUCAGGUUCAUAAUCUCACAACUGAGAAGGAUCCUUCCACACUCUUGGAACAGUGCACCCAUUGGAACUCUGAAGGUUAAGCUCACCAGGAAAGUUUCUCUCCAGAAGAAGAUAACACCCUUAAUGUGAACAGCUUUUCCCAAAAUCACGGAUUGAAACUUCUCUACAAUCACGAGACUCUUAUCUUUGAAUAUUUUCCCUUGGUUAUGCUUCUGUGAACAAUAGACGUGAAAAGGGAGUCUGUUGUGUGCACUUAUGGGGCACACUUUUAUGUGUGAAGGAUUUUUCAGCCAGCCUUAUAUAUGGAUGACCUUAUAGUUUAAGAGAUAAAAGACAAAGACCCAAUGCAGUGUAUUUUUUAUUCUGUGUUCAAAGAUCACCAGUGAGAUUCCCAGUUGCCAAAUCCAAUCUUUAGUUUUCAUCUUAGUUCCUCUGAGCAACAUCUGAAAAAGUGUGAUAGGCAACCUUGAAAUGGCCCCAGAUAAUCCCUGCCUCCAGGUAUUCAUGCUGUUGUCUAAUUUCUUCCCCUUGCAGAUGGGCUGGAUUUGAUGACUUUGUUCUGUCAAAUA